UUAGUGGCGGACGGGUGAGUAUCGNGNGAGUAACCUGCCUUUCAGAGGGGGAUAACGUUCUGAAAAGAACGCUAAUACCGCAUAACAUCAAUUUAUCGCAUGAUAGGUUGAUCAAAGGAGCAAUCCGCUGGAAGAUGGACUCGCGUCCGAUUAGCCAGUUGGCGGGGUAACGGCCCACCAAAGCGACGAUCGGUAGCCGGACUGAGAGGUUGAACGGCCACAUUGGGACUGAGACACGGCCCAGACUCCUNCGGGAGGCAGCAGUGGGGGAUAUUGCACAAUGGGGGAAACCCUGAUGCAGCAACGCCGCGUGAGGGAAGAAGGUUUUCGGAUUGUAAACCUCUGUUCUUAGUGACGAUAAUGACGGUAGCUAAGGAGAAAGCUCCGGCUAACUACGUGCCAGCAGCCGCGGUAAUACGUAGGGAGCGAGCGUUGUCCGGAUUUACUGGGUGUAAAGGGUGCGUAGGCGGCGAGGCAAGUCAGGCGUGAAAUCUAUGGGCUUAACCCAUAAACUGCGCUUGAAACUGUCUUGCUUGAGUGAAGUAGAGGUAGGCGGAAUUCCCGGUGUAGCGGUGAAAUGCGUAGAGAUCGGGAGGAACACCAGUGGCGAAGGCGGCCUACUGGGCUUUAACUGACGCUGAAGCACGAAAGCAUGGGUAGCAAACAGGAUUAGAUACCCUGGUAGUCCAUGCCGUAAACGAUGAUUACUAGGUGU
rnacentral:rRNA from 1 species